UAGGGAAUAUUGGUCAAUGGGGGCAACCCUGAACCAGCCAUGCCGCGUGCAGGAAGACUGCCCUAUGGGUUGUAAACUGCUUUUGUACGGGAAGAAAUGUCACUAUGCGUAGUGAUUUGACGGUACCGUAAGAAUAAGGAUCGGCUAACUUCGUGCCAGCAGCCGCGGUAAGACGAAGGAUCCAAGCGUUGUCCGGAUUUACUGGGUUUAAAGGGAGCGUAGGCGGAUUAAUAAGUCAGUGGUGAAAGCCUUCAGCUUAACUGAAGAACUGCCAUUGAAACUGUUAGUCUCGAGUACGGCUGAGGUGACUGGAAUGUAACAUGUAGCGGUGAAAUGCUUAGAUAUGUUACAGAACACCAAUUGCGAAGGCAGGUCACUAAACCGUAACUGACGCUGAGGC
rnacentral:rRNA from 1 species